GCCCCCCCAACCCUCCCCCCCCCACCUCGCAGGGCCAAGGCCUGCCAGAACUGGGCUCAGCCCCAGGAAGAAGCAUCCCCCCCUCUUCCAGGCCACAGCCUGGCCGGCUCUCAGCUCUAUUUUUAGCUCCAUGGAAAGGGUUGUUUUUCUUUCUUUUUCCCUGGAAAGGGAAACACAGCCCAGCCACCCUCAGGCUCACUCCAGCCCCUCAGCUUCGUAAGGGCAGACUGAACCCCUCUCCCCGAUGGAGACCCCCUCCUCUGGCCUUGCCCUGAUCCCUGCCUCCCGGGGCACCGAGAGCCUCCUCCUCCCCUUUCUGGCUGCCUGCCCAGAAGCUCAGGCAGCAGCUGGGCUCAGCGUGUGGCGGGGAUGCUGGCUCCGAGAAUGUGUCACCGAGCAGGAAGGCAAGGAGUCCAAGCAACCCCACCCCGCCCAAUACUCUCCCGGCCUCCUGAGCCACCCAAGCCCCCAGGGGCGCUGAGCUCCCAUUCUGGGUGAGAGAGUUGAUCAUCAUCCCAGGUGGAGUAUGGAAUAAAGCCCCGUACAGGGAAGCAAGCAUGCCGGGACUGGGGGAGAAGUGGACGAGAGAGUAUCCCCGCCUAGACAGGGUUAGGGGGGCACUGCCCACCGGGCUGCGAAGCAGUCACGUGCUCAUCGCCUGUUUACGCCUUGGUCUUCACCUGCAGGCAAGCGGCCGGGAAGCAGGAACCGCCUGAUGCGACAAACCCCGCCCGCCCCCGCCGACAGUCUCAGGGCGGCCCCUUUCCCUCGGCCCCGGGCAGAACAACUCAGCGUCCAUCUCUCCCGGGGUCGCGCGGGCCGGUGGCACUGCCUCUGGGACUGCUAGGGUACCUCGCUCUGCUUGUCCCUCCCUGAGCGCACGUGUGUUCGUGUCCUGAGCGAAUGCAUGGGUCGGUGCAUGGGUGUGUGUUGGUGCGUCUGUAAGUUUCCCUGUCCCUUUGCUAUUCAGGCUUUGCCUGCGCUCCAUAGAGUGCGGACCCCUUCCUCAUCCCAAUCCCGUUUCUCAAGACACGGAAAGUUCUCUCCAGAGCGAGCAUGUGCGGAGGCCGGAGUUCCUGCACCCCGUCCGCCCACCACUCACCCAGCGUCACCUGCGCCGCGGCUCCCUCUGUGGCCGGGCUCCGACUCCAGCGUGCCUACUUCCUCGCCGCGAUAGACCUCUGGCUCCCCAGCCCUCUCGGGGCUCCGGGCUCCGCGCUCCCGGCUCCCGGCUGCCGGCUCCCGCCAGGCCGGACCUGGAAGAGUGGGGCGGGGCGGCUGAAGCCGCGCCCCCCCCACCCAGAGAGGGGAGUGGUCUGCCCCGCACCCUCGAACAGCCAACCCAGUACCACCCCAAAAGUAGCCCGACCCAGUACCCAGCCCCAAAGUAGGCUGACGGUGGUCUACGCUCUGGCCUGUUGGCUGCACAGCGUACCGACUUUUGACCUAGGGGGAGGGCAGAUAUGACCGACGGCUAAGCUACCUGGCUGCCUUACUAAGGGCCUAUAAAUCCGGUCCACUCUGCCCAGAGCCAGAAGAGGGAAAAUCCCUGUGAAGCAGACAAAGAACUCUCGAGUUUCAUAACCCCCACCACACACACACACACACACACACACACACACACUCGCGCGCACACACUGGGACUGUUCUAGCAGAACUAGUACCGCCCCAUUCCCUGGAGUAGUUAUCAGCCCAGGUGAGAAGCUGUAGUCCUGGUCCCCCAUAGGGCAAGGCUAGGCUUCCCUUAGACUCAUAAAGUCCCACCCACAGGCCCAAACAGGAAGUUGGCCUGUAUUUUAGGGAGGUGCCGAGGGCUCCCUUCCUCCCUGGCAUACCAGGUACAUUGUGGAAGGGCUUAAGUUUACAGCUACCUGAACCAUACCCACUGCCUGAGCAGUUGGGCCACAGGAGACCAAGGUGAGUUUGGUCUCUUCUCAAAUCCACCGCAGUAACAGCUACUGAAGACCUAAAGUAAAGCUGCCUCCUCACAGCCCUGUGCGACACAGUGUCGGUCUGAAAACAGGGCUACAGAUCCAAUUUGACCCUGCUGGGCCAGACCUUUCCAGGAGGUCUCUGGGACAUUAAGUCAGCUGAACACAGAAUUACAUGGUUCAUCCCAGGCUCCAAUGGCUCCUGAACACACUCCGUGCUGGAUCUUGCCGUGGGGAGUUUUCGGCAGACCCUGGAUGAGGCCCAGAGCAGCCAACUGCUGGGAAUGAUUACUGCAGGAUGAGAGGCCCGGCUCCAGCCAGUCUGGAAGAGACCCCCAAGAAGGCAGACCCUGGAGGAGCUACCCCCACCCCUAGGUUCUUCCCAACAACAGCUUUGCAAAAAUUCGCUUCAGCUCUUUAUGGCUAGAGUUCUCAGAAACCCCGGACUCUUCCCUCUGGUUCUAAAAGCUUCCUCUUGGGUUGACUUGAAAGAUUACUCUUCCUCCUGGGAGUAAAAAAACCUCCCCUAUACCUGAAGCAGAGGCUUCCCAGCACCCCCAAUCUGAACAUCUUGAAGUUGGUCCUUUAGAGUAUCAGAGGAAGUGAGAUAAAAAGGUCAUUAGCAAUA